rnacentral:piRNA from 1 species
AUGGCACAACUCUGUUUAGAAUAUUAUUU